rnacentral:rRNA from 1 species
CACGUAGGGCGCGAGCGUUGUCCGGAAUUAUUGGGCGUAAAGAGCUCGUAGGCGGCCUGUUGCGUCCGCUGUGAAAGCCCGGGGCUUAACCCCGGGUCUGCAGUGGAUACGGGCAGGCUAGAGGUAGGUAGGGGAGAAUGGAAUUCCCGGUGUAGCGGUGAAAUGCGCAGAUAUCGGGAGGAACACCGGUGGCGAAGGCGGGUCUCUGGGCCGUAACUGACGCUGAGGAGCGAAAGCGUGGGGAGCAAACAGG